GAUGAAGAACGUAGCGAAAUGCGAUACGUAAUGUGAAUUGCAGAAUUCAGUGAAUCAUCGAAUCUUUGAACGCAUAUUGCGCUCUCUGGUAUUCCGGAGAGCAUGCUUGUUUGAGUAUCAGUAAACACCUCAACUCCCUUUUCUUUUUUGAAAUUGGAGCUGGACUUGAGUGAUCCCAACGCUUUCUUCCAAGAAAGUGGCGGGUUGCUUGAAAUGCAGGUGCAGCUGAACUUUUCUCUGAGCUAUAAGCAUAUCUAUUUAGUCUGCCUAAAAAACAUAUUAUUACCUUUGCUGCAGCUAACAUAAAGGAGACUAGUUCUUGUGCUGACUGAUGCAGGAUUCACAGAGACAGCUUCGGCUGACUUUGUAAACUCGAUCUCAAAUCAAGUAAGACUACCCGCUGAACUUAAGCAUAUCAAUAAGCGGAGGA
rnacentral:misc_RNA from 1 species